rnacentral:rRNA from 1 species
GAUGAACGCUGGCGGCGUGCCUAAUACAUGCAAGUCGAGCGAACAGACGAGGAGCUUGCUCCUCUGACGUUAGCGGCGGACGGGUGAGUAACACGUGGAUAACCUACCUAUAAGACUGGGAUAACUUCGGGAAACCGGAGCUAAUACCGGAUAAUAUAUUGAACCGCAUGGUUCAAUAGUGAAAGACGGUUUUGCUGUCACUUAUAGAUGGAUCCGCGCCGCAUUAGCUAGUUGGUAAGGUAACGGCUUACCAAGGCAACGAUGCGUAGCCGACCUGAGAGAGUGGUCGGCCACACUGGAACUGGAACACGGUCCAGACUCCUACGGGAGGCAGCAGUAGGGAAUCUUCCGCAAAGGGCGAAAGCCUGACGGAGCAGCGCCGCGUGAGUGGUGAAGGUCUUCGGAUCGUAAAACUCUGUUAUUAGGGAAGAACAAAUGUGUAAGUAACUGUGCACGUCUUGACGGUACCUAAUCAGAAAGCCACGGCUAACUACGUG